AUUGAACGCUGGCGGAAUGCUUUACACAUGCAAGUCGAGCGGCAGCGCGGGGGCAACCCUGGCGGCGAGCGGCGAACGGGUGAGUAAUACAUCGGAACGUGUCCUUAAGUGGGGGAUAGCUCGGCGAAAGCCGGAUUAAUACCGCAUAAGCUCUGAGGAGGAAAGCGGGGGCUCCGUAAGGACCUCGCGCUGUUGGAGCGGCCGAUGUCGGAUUAGCUAGUUGGUGGGGUAAAGGCCCACCAAGGCGACGAUCCGUAGCUGGUCUGAGAGGAUGAUCAGCCACACUGGAACUGAGACACGGUCCAGACUCCUACGGGAGGCAGCAGUGGGGAAUUUUGGACAAUGGGGGCAACCCUGAUCCAGCCAUUCCGCGUGAGUGAAGAAGGCCUCGGUUGUAAGUA
rnacentral:rRNA from 1 species